rnacentral:lncRNA from 12 species
CCUGCGCCCUCACCUGCCCAGGUGUGCUCUCACCUGCCCAGGUGUGCCUGUCGCUCACGGCCAAGCGCCUGGCGUGAGGUGUGAGAUGCACAGGUGUGCCGUGCCCUGCCCAGGUGUGCUGUGCCCUGCCCAGCCGUGCUCUCACCUGUUCCCUCACCUGCUCACCUGUCCGCUCACCUGCGCAGGUGUGCCUGUCGCUGACGGCCAAGCGCCUGGCGCGCCGCAGCUGCCCAGGUGUGCUGCACCCUGCCCAGGUGUGCUGUGCCCUGCCCAGGUGUGCUAUACCCCACUCAGGUGUGCCGUGCCCUGCCCAGCCGUGCUCUCACCUGUUCCCUCACCUGCUCACCUGUCCGCUCACCUGCGCAGGUGUGCCUGUCGCUGACGGCCAAGCGCCUGGCGCGCCGUGUGAGGUGUACAGGUGUGCUGUACCCUG